UUUGACAGCUGUCACAGGGCUUAUUAGUCAUCUGUAAUUUUCCGUAAUGUAGGUACAUAUUUUGGUACAUAUUAUAGAGAUAAUUGAACAUUAUUUAUCUCUAAGGUAUUUCUAUAUAAUGCUCUAAUGUAUUUGAUUCUGAAGUUCUUUAUCUUAAAUUUUACAAAGCUUAGGUCAGCAGCAGCGGUCUUUCAAGAAGCAUUUACAAUUCUACUGGGUUCAAUUGAAAUACCUAUUUUAUUUUUUUUAUGUUGCAGAGCUGCUAAGAGAAUAUAACCGCUUUCGUUAACCCAGACCUACCUUACAGAUUUCUAUUUGUUUCCUAGAAUUUUUACUAAGAUGAAUGUCACUGCUUACUAAUUUAUAAAAAUCGUUUGUAAUAUUUGCUAUUACUACUGGAUUUGGGAAAUCACUGAUAACCUAAGAAGUUUUUAUUACAAACGUCAUUGCUGAUAACGAAGAAAAAAAUAACAAAAAAAAUAUGUAAACAUCUAAAAUUAUGUGAAAAUACUAUGGUUUCGACUGCAUACAUCCAUAUUGUCAGAUCAAUGCUGGUUGUAGACCAAUAGACCCCAGAAAUUAUUCAGUUAUUGCAUAAUCGUCUGUGAGCUAUGCUAAACUAUAUAACUUAGCUUAAUUCUUGGGCUAUAAUUGGCAUGAACACAAAUUUUCACUAUGCUUGCAUAGAUAAUGUCUUUUUUUCAGUUAUCACAGAACAUGCAAAGUAUUACAAUAAAUUGCUGGUACAGUAUAUUUCUGGAUGCUUACACAUACUCAACUAAUUAUUUACUUUUUAGUCUUAUGGUUGUUAUUACAUCAAUUCUAUUGUUAUGGAUUUAUGAAAGGCCACGGUUGUACAAGGUAAUCUAAUACUAACUUCAAAACAAAAUUUUAAUUUAAACAAUUUGAGGGGUUUUAUGUAACUAUAUUUAGCUUUUAUUUAGAAAAGCUUUAUUGUUAUGAUAGCUUGGUUAAACUAAGAAAUGCAUAUUUGUUGUAGUUAAUAUUCAAAAGAAGCAAACAUUCAAAUAUCUUAAGUCCUAUGCUAAGCAAUGAAAAUGUUGGCUCUAAUUACCCACAAACAUUUGUCACUGGUGAUAUACCAGUACACACAGAAACAUCAGAGGUAACCAAGGAUAAUGAAUAGCCAAUGAAAAGAAACUAAUCUCUUCAUACUACUCAGUCAAAAAAAAAAUUGUGCAUUUCUGUCAAAAAAUAUUUGCCAUGGAUUUCUUUCAUUGUUCCUCCAAAUAUUUAUAUUUUUUAUUAUUAAAACUGUAAUUCUUAUUAAAUAUUUUCCUGUUAUUCUGAAUAUAACAGAUUACUUCAAUAUA